CUUGACCUAAGGGUUAAGGGCAUCGCCUCAUUAGGCAUAAUUCAUGAAGCGGGAAAAAUUAAGCAUCCGACCAGAAAAAUAAAUGCAUGCGUAAUUAAUGUAUCAGAUCAUUUCGAGAUGGUAGAAGUCUAGAAGAUGAGGAGACGGGCAUGGGGAAAAGUAGAAAACGCAUAGCAGAGCCUCAGAUCACCAUUCACCGUAUAACUAUUAGUUUCUAGUAUCCCAAUUCAUGGUCUCGGUUCAGCAGUUCUCCUGAAUUCAGAUCAUUGUUGAAUUCCUUUUAGAGGCUCUUGUUUAUUUCAUUCUCUAUUUCUGAUUCUAUUAACAAGUUUAGUGAGAUAUAUGAGAAAAUUGAAGAUGGUAAGAGAAGACAAAUAAUGGAAUUAGAGAAUAUGAAGAUGAAUUUUUAUAAAGAGUUUGAUUUAGAAGAUUAAAAUAAGAAUAUUACCGGCAAACUACUCCUUUUGAUUUGGGGGAGUGUUUAGUUUAAAGUUUAUGAAAGGAUUUUAAUGCAUUUUAAUCUAAAAACCUUCUUGUCCCGUAUCUUUUUAAAUUGCAAAUACAUUGAGAUAGUGAUUAAAUUUUAUUUGUUUUUUCAUUACUUUUUUGCCCUUUAUCUCACAUACCAGCUCCCUAUUUCACGUAGGAAGUGGUUGAGUGAAAGUCCUUUGACACCUGGUACACUCGUAAGCAAGCUCCUUUACAUACCAUCUGGUUAUUUAUACCUCGCUAUGUUUCACCAUGCCAUUAUGAGCAGAACCCAACAGCGGUUGUAAUGAAGCUUUGUUAAGCAUAUAUGAACGGGGGAGAUUAUAAGAGGAGGUUGUGAGCAUAUGUACCUAUCUAUAACAGUUAUUAUUGUAAAUUAAAAAAAAAAUAAACAUUUUAUAUUUUGAGUACACAAAUAAGGUUUGAUGUAUUGGUUGAUUAUAAA